GGUCCAUUAGCUCAGUUGGUUAGAGCGCUACCCUGUCACGGUAGAGGUCGACGGUUCAAGUCCGUUAUGGAUCG
rnacentral:tRNA from 1 species